CAGCCCUAGUUGGGAGCACGGCUCAGCAGAAUUAGUCAGGAGGCAUUGCAGACGUGAUGCAUACCGUUGUACUUUUCGCAGUUUUACGCAUCGCUACUGGAAAUGAAAGGGUCUUCUAGGACCAUGUAUGUGCCACUGUGAUACAAGAACAUCUGAAAGUAUGCUUCGUAUGUCUUUGUGUGUAUGUCACAAACGACUGCAAUUUUCAGUCUCGCCCGCGCACCCCAUCGUCUAAGGAAAGGCUGCUUUUGUGUUGGGAAGACUGACAUUCGGCGACUGGCGACGCAGCAGCGGCGGCGCUGAGUUUUCCCUACACUUGUACCGAAAGGAGAGACAUGUGUUCGAGGAAAAAGAAAUUACCUUGAGAGGGGACGAUACGUCCCGAAAGAGUUUUGACUGCUUUGAAAUCGGCAUUCGGCAGUUGACGUGCAACCAGCAAGAAGCGCGGUCAGUCGGUGUCGGGAGGCUCGCUGUAGGCGGCGAAGUAUGGAGUGACCCGCGCAACGUAUUGAGAUGGCUGCAAUUCCGGGCACCCUCGCUGUCUACUAAGCCGUCGAAAUCUUCAGCGGCACCCGUCAACUCCCCUACGUGUACCGAGAGCUGGCCUGGUCCCUACGAAACUUUGUAUUGUGUUUUUUUUUUCAGCUGUUAUUUUAUUAUAACCAACUUUUCAAUAAUUGUAGUUGUGUGCGCUGCGUCGCACGUAGCAAUUCAGAAGUGCAAGCAUGAUCUUCUGCUCCGCAAUGAUUUCCUUGUAUCUCUCUUUGAUUUCCAUUGUGCUGUAAUUUAAUAACAUUCCUCGUUGUUUUUUUCUUGUACCUGUCGUAGUGUUUUUCUAGAGAAUAGUUUGCUUUGUUGUUUUUUUCAUGGUGUGUUAGUGUUUUUGCUCUGUUAUUUUCCUGCAAUCUCCUUGCCAUUGCCCUUGUUUUAAUUAAAUGCUUGUUUGUGUUUAAGCAAACGUCCGUGUCUGCACUAUGAGUACGUCGGUCAAGCUUGUACAUCACCACACGUGCAACCCCACACGGGUCGACCGACCUGCAAAUAAAUUUGAGAUGUGCCACUUCAUGGCCUUUCAGGCGUCGCAGGCCGAAGUGCGAGGUGGAAGCCUGCGAGUCUCCCGCACGUCGAUGUUGGAUCGGCGGGGCUCACCCGAAGUGUGACAGAGUACAUUUGCCAAUAUUAUGCUUCUCUCAACGAUAAGAGUGCAUAAGAGUCCUUGUGACAUCGAUGUGUUGACGUCUUGCGCCGAGUGUCAAACUGAUCUGGUGUUUUAGUUUCCGGGUAACUUGUGAGCAGUGCAGACUAUAGCAUAAUAUUUAAGUCAGUGUUACCAUUAUUUUUAAUUUGCCUAAGUAGUGCUCAUAAGUAAUGCUCAUUGCACUUAAAUGUGGGAUGAAGGUAAACAGUUGAAUGCAUCACCUUUAGCUGUAUAGGAUUCAGUCAACACAUCAUGAAUAAAGCUUUGCUCUGCAUAGAUGCCAAUAUGUACACUGCAUCUUUGUAAUUUUUCUUGACAUAAGUGUGCCACGAUCUUUACGCUUUGAUAGCAUUCAUUUGUUUGUUUCCCAGUAAGGUUCACUCACACAGUAUUCAGAGCAUAAUAAGAUGCAUAAUGCAUAUUAUUUUGUCCUUAUUCCACGUCUUUUUUUUUUAGCGUUUGCAUCUUGUGUUUUGCAACUCAGCCUUCAGCUGAAGUCAUCAUGUGUCAGUUUUUAAAUCAUUUGGGAGUUGCUCUUCUGAAAUAGGAAAUUGCAAGGUGAUGCUUUUAAUGACUAGACACUUUCUUUGUUUAUACACUAUUAUCACAAUGAUUUUUAUAUUUCUGUGUACUGCACAUUGCACACUAAACAAUGCAAGUAAUGCUACCUUGUACAUUUCUCCAGGCACUUUAGAGAGAAUAACAGGACAUUGUUUAGACUGCAUUUGUUAAUGUGCACAGAAUUUAGAGCACAGAUUUGAAGAACAGCGCUUUGGAGGGCUUAAGUAAAUGUUAGCUUCAUACAAAGGACAAACAUUAGUUGCAGGAUGGGCUUCAUGAUAGCAGCAGCCUCAUAAUAAUUGUAGUAGCUCGUCAAUAUAUUUAGAACAUGCAUUGUCACUUUGCUCCUUGCGAUGCAACCUCAGUGCAUAUAUUUUCUCGAAAGCUUGGUCGAGGCAGUGGUACUGAUCUUUGUAUCUGUCGUGCUCAAUGUUUCCCGCUUUUUUCUUUGGGCCAGUUACACCGUGGCCACCGUGCCAGUAUUGAAGCCAUAAACGUGUUUAUCUUUGCACACGCAUACAGUUACAUCAGAUGUAAUUUUUAACUUCACAUUAAAGUGUUUAAUAAUAAAAUUGUUGAAUGGAA